rnacentral:rRNA from 1 species
AUUGAACGCUGGCGGAAUGCUUUACACAUGCAAGUCGAACGGCAGCAUAGGUGCUUGCACCUGAUGGCGAGUGGCGAACGGGUGAGUAAUACAUCGGAACGUGCCCAGUCGUGGGGGAUAACGUAGCGAAAGUUACGCUAAUACCGCAUACGAUCUAAGGAUGAAAGCGGGGGAACGUAAGGCCUCGCGCGAUUGGAGCGGCCGAUGUCAGAUUAGGUAGUUGGUGAGGUAAAGGCUCACCAAGCCGACGAUCUGUAGCUGGUCUGAGAGGACGACCAGCCACACUGGGACUGAGACACGGCCCAGACUCCUACGGGAGGCAGCAGUGGGGAAUUUUGGACAAUGGACGCAAGUCUGAUCCAGCCAUUCCGCGUGCAGGACGAAGGCCUUCGGGUUGUAAACUGCUUUUGUACGGAACGAAAAAGCUCUUACUAAUACUAGGAGUCCAUGACGGUACCGUAAGAAUAAGCACCGGCUAACUACGUGCCAGCAGCCGCCGUAA